rnacentral:rRNA from 1 species
UACGUAGGGGGCAAGCGUUGUCCGGAAUCAUUGGGCGUAAAGCGCGUGUAGGCGGCCCGGUAAGUCCGCUGUAAAAGUCUAGGGCUCAACCCUGGAAAGCCGGUGGAUACUGUCGGGCUCGAGUCCGGAAGAGGCGAGUGGAAUUCCUGGUGUAGCGGUGAAAUGCGCAGAUAUCAGGAGGAACACCGAUGGCGAAGGCAGCUCGCUGGGACGGUACUGACGCUGAGAAGCGAAAGCAUGGGGAGCGAACAGG